UGGGGAAUAUUGGACAAUGGGGGGAACCCUGAUCCAGCCAUGCCGCGUGUGUGAAGAAGGCCUUAUGGUUGUAAAGCACUUUAAGCGAGGAGGAGGGUACUGGUAUUAAUACUACCAGCUACUGGACGUUACUCGCAGAAUAAGCACCGGCUAACUCUGUGCCAGCAGCCGCGGUAAUACAGAGGGUGCGAGCGUUAAUCGGAUUUACUGGGCGUAAAGCGUGCGUAGGCGGCUAAUUGAGUCGGAUGUGAAAUCCCCGAGCUUAACUUGGGAAUUGCAUUCGAUACUGGUUAGCUAGAGUGUGGGAGAAGAUGGUAGAAUUCCAGGUGGAGCGGUGAAAUGCGUAGAGAUCUGGAGGAAUACCGAUGGCGAAGGCAGCCAUCUGGCCUAACACUGACGCUGAGGUACGAAAGCAUGGGGAGCAAACAGG
rnacentral:rRNA from 1 species